rnacentral:rRNA from 1 species
UACGUAGGGGGCAAGCGUUGUCCGGAAUCAUUGGGCGUAAAGAGCGUGUAGGCGGCCAGAAAAGUCCGCUGUGAAAACUCGAGGCUCAACUUCGAGCUGUCGGUGGAAACUUUCUGGCUAGAGUCCGGAAGAGGAGAAUGGAAUUCCUGGUGUAGUGGUGAAAUGCGUAGAGAUCCGGAGGAACACCAGUGGCGAAGGCGACACGCUGGGCCGUACCUGACACUGAGGCGCGAUAGCAUGGGGAGCAAACAGG